GCUACACAGAAGCGACAGCCCCGCCCGCGUGAGCAGAGGAACUAGACGCCCCACAGCGGGGGCGCUGCGGAAGCAGGGAAGGUGUACCAGAUGGACUGACUCUUAACAUACGGAAUAAGAAUAAAGACCCUGAUCCUGCAAACACUUAAGGGAAAGAAGUUAAGUGAGUAGGGAGGAAGGGAAGAAGAUUAUAAUGCUUGGAAGAUCUCUCUCAGGGGCCAAGAUAUUAUUGUAUGUUAAGUUCUAGCCCACUUGAAGCUGGAGAAAAUUUGCAUUUGUAAAGCCAGGACAUAGCUCCUGCAUGGAAAAAACUACAAAUUGGA